rnacentral:lncRNA from 1 species
GUUGCCUCUUACAUUCUUUCCAGGGCUUAGCAGACAGGAACAGGGAGGGUCGGGUUUAGGCCAUCUUACCCAGACCGGAAGUCUCUAAGUGUUUGAUUGAGUGUUUGUUUGAAGAAAGUGAUGAACCCAGGACCUCGAGCCAGGAAGAUUUUUCCCGGUGAAAAGCAGAGGGAUUGACUCACGCUCGGUUCUGAGUUCCAGGCCUGACUCCAGGGCUCACCAGCUUCUUCCACAACCCGCACAACUUGAACGCUUGGUAGCAUCUCCACGCAGCAGUGGGCACCCUGGCUUCUGGAGGAGCCCAGGCUGCAUUUACCCCUCCAUGGUGCAUCUCAUAGGAUCAACUGGACCCGCGAAAGGCACUGGCUGCGGAAAAGCAGCCAACUGCUCCCCAGCGAAGGGGAUGGCCGGAAGCGAGGAGAGGGAGAAGCCCCAGCAGAGACCCCAGGAGGAAAAGACCCCACAACGGGGCCACUGGGAACCCAUGAUGUUGGUUACCAAUGUGAUUGGAGGUUCGGAACGACGGACGUGUGGCCCUGAAGUGGGAAACAGAAAAGCUGAAGGGCGAGACCUGGGAGGGAGCCCCCCACCCCCGCGGACUCCAGAGACCCAACCUUCCUUCCCUGCGCUCCGGCCGGACGUUCUCCCUGCCCCUGUGGCCGAGCCUGCUUCCUUUCCUUCACCUUACCAUGCUCCUUUCUGGAAGGCACCACUCCAAACCGUCUCCUUGGAAAAGCAACUUCAGCCCCAGUGCCUGUCCCUGCUACACCCAACGUUCCUGUCUGGAAAAGAGUUGCUCUUUAUUCAGCACGUGAGUUCCUGACCCCCAGAUAAGGGCCAGUGCAGCCGGGGAGGGAAGCAUUAGUGCUGCCGGGUGGAAGGUGGACGGCGCCUGGAUCCAGACCCAGCAGUGCUCAUGGGGCCAGGCCUGGUGCUCGUUCUUUCUCAGUCCUUAACGCCACCUUGCAAGGUGGGGAUUGUCCUCCCAUCUGGCCAUGAAGAGCUGAAGCAGAGAGGUGCAGUCGCUCAUCUGCGCUCACUGGUCAGUGGGUCGCUGCGUCCCCAGAGGCCCCUGGGCAGGGUGGGCGCUGCGUCCCCAGAGGCCCCUGGGCAGGGUGGACGCCUCUGCAGGUGCCCGCACAGGGGCUUUCUCCUUCACUUGGCCACACUCAGCCUUUGAUCUGAAACAAUGAAAGCCCCU